AUCGCUUCUUGGCCUUUUGGCUAAGAUCAAGUGUAGAUAACAUUAUAGAUCACAUCAAAAUGACAGGCAAAAAUAUUAUGAUCAUCUCAACAGGGACUGAUAAAGGUACAAAUAUUUAAUUUCUCUAUAGGGCUGGAGAAGUAGUUCAGUGGUAGAACACUUUCCUAGCAUAC
rnacentral:snRNA from 1 species